rnacentral:rRNA from 1 species
UUGAACGCUGGCGGCAGGCCUAACACAUGCAAGUCGAGCGGUAACACAGAGAGCUUGCUCUCGGGUGACGAGCGGCGGACGGGUGAGUAAUGUCUGGGAAACUGCCUGAUGGAGGGGGAUAACUACUGGAAACGGUAGCUAAUACCGCAUAACGUCGCAAGACCAAAGUGGGGGACCUUCGGGCCUCAUGCCAUCAGAUGUGCCCAGAUGGGAUUAGCUAGUAGGUGGGGUAACGGCUCACCUAGGCGACGAUCCCUAGCUGGUCUGAGAGGAUGACCAGCCACACUGGAACUGAGACACGGUCCAGACUCCUACGGGAGGCAGCAGUGGGGAAUAUUGCACAAUGGGCGCAAGCCUGAUGCAGCCAUGCCGCGUGUGUGAAGAAGGCCUUCGGGUUGUAAAGCACUUUCAGCGGGGAGGAAGGCGGUGAGGUUAAUAACCUCAUCGAUUGACGUUACCCGCAGAAGAAGCACCGGCUAACUCCGUGCCAGCAGCCGCGGUAAUACGGAGGGUGCAAGCGUUAAUCGGAAUUACUGGACGUAAAGCGCACGCAGGCGGUCUGUCAAGUCGGAUGUGAAAUCCCCGGGCUCAACCUGGGAACUGCAUUCGAAACUGGCAGGCUAGAGUCUUGUAGAGGGGGGUAGAAUUCCAGGUGUAGCGGUGAAAUGCGUAGAGAUCUGGAGGAAUACCGGUGGCGAAGGCGGCCCCCUGGACAAAGACUGACGCUCAGGUGCGAAAGCGUGGGGAGCAAACAGGAUUAGAUACCCUGGUAGUCCACGCCGUAAACGAUGUCGAUUUGGAGGUUGUGCCCUUGAGGCGUGGCUUCCGGAGCUAACGCGUUAAAUCGACCGCCUGGGGAGUACGGCCGCAAGGUUAAAACUCAAAUGAAUUGACGGGGGCCCGCACAAGCGGUGGAGCAUGUGGUUUAAUUCGAUGCAACGCGAAGAACCUUACCUGGUCUUGACAUCCACAGAACUUUCCAGAGAUGGAUUGGUGCCUUCGGGAACUGUGAGACAGGUGCUGCAUGGCUGUCGUCAGCUCGUGUUGUGAAAUGUUGGGUUAAGUCCCGCAACGAGCGCAACCCUUAUCCUUUGUUGCCAGCGGUUCGGCCGGGAACUCAAAGGAGACUGCCAGUGAUAAACUGGAGGAAGGUGGGGAUGACGUCAAGUCAUCAUGGCCCUUACGACCAGGGCUACACACGUGCUACAAUGGCAUAUACAAAGAGAAGCGACCUCGCGAGAGCAAGCGGACCUCAUAAAGUAUGUCGUAGUCCGGAUUGGAGUCUGCAACUCGACUCCAUGAAGUCGGAAUCGCUAGUAAUCGUAGAUCAGAAUGCUACGGUGAAUACGUUCCCGGGCCUUGUACACACCGCCCGUCACACCAUGGGAGUGGGUUGCAAAAGAAGUAGGUAGCUUAACCUUCGGGAGGGCGCUUACCACUUUGUGAUUCAUGACUGGGGUG